GUUCGAUAAACAUAUGUAAACAAGUUGUCGUACGCAGUGACGUAGUUAAGCAAUCUUUUGUUAAAAUGAUGACAACGAGUACAGCUAACACCAAUGUCUAUGGGAAGUCUUCUUUCCGCCUGUAGCAUUACGAUCACACAUUAUGCAACUGAACAAAUGAACGACGUAGCUUAUCAUAUUCCUGGUGUUUGUUCACGAACAACAGAAUGAGCGGCAACCAAAAACAAAGAAAAAGCAGACCAUUGAGUCAGAUUAUGUGUUAAUGCCUCUAUCUCCAAGUCUGUGGUUCUGACUGCCAAAAUUUCAGUGCAGUCAAUUGUGCAUCUGCAAGUUUUUAAUGAAUUUGGAAGAUACAGUGUAUUUGUUUACCAUUUCCUUGGACAGCCAACAUUUAUGAUAUCUAAGCACAGACAGGCAAAACAAUUUACCAUGUAUUAAGCAUUUGGGAUGCCACACAGACACUGAUGCCAUUAAUGUCAUAUAAUAAAAUUGUAUUUUAAGGUGCAUAACACAUCUUGUUCAGUGUUAGUAGACGUUGCUUUUUGUUUUCAUUCCUUGCAAUACUGUUGUACAAAAAAUGCAGCAAAGUAGAAGACACCGUAGUUUACAUGGUAAAGUUGUGGAUGCACUGAAUAAAGAGUGUUCAAAGAUCUUAUUGGGUAGAAAACUUUAUGCUAGUGAUAUGAUAUCUUCUUGUUAUUUUAUUUAGUAAUGGAUAAUGACAAAGUUGAUAUAGUUAUUUGGGGGUGGUAUGUACAUAUACCAUGCACUGUAAUAUGUAAGUGUUUUCAAGUGUUUAUUGAUAGUCCCUAGAUGAUGCUAUACUCAACCCAGGUGGUCAGGGUACCAAAUUUUUUCCUCUAGGCACUAUCUGUAAAUUUAAUAAAAAUUCCAACACAUUUUCUGUAAUUACACCCAAACAUAACCAA